AGGGUGGCUCCACCACUGUCCUUCCCUGAUCCCUCCCUAGCUCUAUAAAUAGCUCUUUCACUUCCUUAUCCUCCAUAAGAGAACUACAUUGUAGCUUCGUUCUUUGAAUUGCAAAAAAGAGAAGAAAAAUGGAAGGACAAGCGGGCACCAGUGGAAGUGGAAGUGGAAAUGGAAAUGGAAAAGGAAAAGAAAAAGUAUGGAUAGUUGUAUUUUCUUUGUUUCUAACAUGUUACCAACUAAGUAACUAUCUCUUUUCCUUUCCCUCUUUAAACUCUCAUUUGCAGGAAAUGCAGGAAGAAAUUCAGAUUGGACAAAGGCAAAGAAUUUUUAUAGACAGCAUUCACGCAGCUAAUGCCGUCGACUUAUUUCUAGCAAAUAAGAAUAAUUGGCGUGGAACUGUAAUAGUAUUGGGAAGUAACGAGAAAAACUACGUGGUCAAGAUCAAUGACCUGAAAGCAAAGUAUGAAAAUGUUACCUUUGAGUAGUAGCGUUAGAGGGGGAAGUAAUAAAGUAAGUAGUGUUCAGCUAUGUGUAUGUCUAGUCUUUGUUUUUUCUUUCCUAAUAAUCGUGCUUUGUGUGUGUUUCAUGCAUAAGACUGAUUGUGCGUGUAUUUGUUCCUUUUUUUCUGCUCGACGUAUGUGCACGUUUAAUAACUUAAUUCCCGUAAUCUUUAUAAUUUAGUAUGGCACUGUCAUUAAUUAAUUAAAUUAUAUGCUUUAAAUCUUACUAUGUUUUAGCAAACAAGAUCCAAAAGGCAUGAAGUAGACAUUGGAAAACGAAAUCGGACCUUGACUCGUUUAACUGUAAUCUAGGUUGUAAGUGCAUGUGAUUAGGAAUGAGAAUAAAACUUUGCACAAGAAAGGACUCGUGGUAAAAGAAGAACCAUUUUUUUUGAUUAUGUCAUGUUCUGUAGCCAUCUCCAGUUAUAUUUCUCAAGAAGUGGUUUCUUAUCGCCAGAAAUUUAAAAAUAGC
rnacentral:lncRNA from 1 species